rnacentral:rRNA from 1 species
UACGGAGGGUGCGAGCGUUGUCCGGAAUCACUGGGCGUAAAGGGCGCGUAGGCGGUUGGGGAAGUCCGUGGUGAAAGCUCGUGGCUCAACUACGAGUCGGCCAUGGAUACUCCUUGACUUGAGCACUGUAGAGGCAGGUGGAAUUCCGGGUGUAGCGGUGGAAUGCGUAGAGAUCCGGAAGAACACCGGUGGCGAAGGCGGUCUGCUGGGCAGUAGCUGACGCUGAGGCGCGAUAGCGUGGGGAGCGAACAGG